rnacentral:rRNA from 1 species
AUGAACGCUAGCUACAGGGCUUAACACAUGGCAAGUUCGUGGGGGCAGCAUCAUCAAAGCUUGCUUUGAUGGAUGGCGACCGGCGCACGGGUGAGUAACACGUAUCCAACCUGCCGAACAACACUGGGAUAGCCCUUUCGAAAGAAAGAUUAAUACCGGAUGGCAUAGUCUUCCCGCAUGGGGAUGAUUAUUAAAGAAUUUCGGUUGUCGAUGGGGAUGCGUUCCAUUAGGCAGUUGGCGGGGUAACGGCCCACCAAACCUACGAUGGAUAGGGGUUCUGAGAGGAAGGUCCCCCACAUUGGAACUGAGACACGGUCCAAACUCCUACGGGAGGCAGCAGUGAGGAAUAUUGGUCAAUGGACGAGAGUCUGAACCAGCCAAGUAGCGUGAAGGAUGACUGCCCUAUGGGUUGUAAACUUCUUUUAUACGGGAAUAAAGUUAGCCACGUGUGGCUUUUUGUAUGUACCGUAUGAAUAAGGAUCGGCUAACUCCGUGCCAGCAGCCGCGGUAAUACGGAGGAUCCGAGCGUUAUCCGGAUUUAUUGGGUUUAAAGGGAGCGUAGGCGGGUUGUUAAGUCAGUUGUGAAAGUUUGCGGCUCAACCGUAAAAUUGCAGUUGAUACUGGCGACCUUGAGUGCAACAGAGGUAGGCGGAAUUCGUGGUGUAGCGGUGAAAUGCUUAGAUAUCACGAAGAACUCCGAUUGCGAAGGCAGCUUACUGGAUUGUAACUGACGCUGAUGCUCGAAAGUGUGGGUAUCAAACAGGAUUAGAUACCCUGGUAGUCCACACAGUAAACGAUGAAUACUCGCUGUUGGCGAAUAUACAAGUCAGCGGCCAAGCGAAAAGCAUUAAGUAUUCCACCUGGGGAGUACGCCGGCAACGGUGAAAUCAAAGGAAUUGACGGGGGCCCGCACAAGCGGAGGAACAUGUGGUUUAAUUCGAUGAUACGCGAGGAACCUUACCCGGGCUUAAAAUUGCAACUGACUGAACCGGAAAACGGUUCUUUCUUUCGGACAGUUGUGAAGGUGCUGCAUGGUUGUCGUCAAGCUCGUGCCGUGAGGUGUCGGCUUAAAGUGCCAUAACGAGCGCAAACCCUUACGGGUAGUUACCAUCAGGUUAUGCUGGGGACUCUACCCGGA